AACACUUUUUCAUUUUCCAAAAGUCUCUCUUCCUCUCAAUUUCCUCACUAGUCUCUAGCAUCACAACCUUGAUUCAUCAUCUGAAUUUUCUCUUCUUCUUGUUUCAGCCAGCAGAAUUGGGACCAGUUCAGAAUCCCUCAUCCAAGUUGAGCAUCCAUCACCUUCUCGUUGAAUAGAGGUUUCGUGGUCUCACUGUUUGAGGUGGUGUUUCACCAAGCUUUAAUCAGAAAAAGAGAAAGAUGCAGGUGAAGAUACUCCUCUCCUAGAUAGGAGUUGACAGUAGUAUGGCGCUUUGACAGUAGUUCUUGUUGUGAUUUGUAAAAGGGGACCUUUGUUGGUCUGUUCCUGGUAUAGUGUGCUUGUAGCUGGUAUUUCCCUAUGGU